rnacentral:lncRNA from 1 species
CUCAGAGCUCGUGCACGAUCACUUCCCCACAGUGAGGAGCUGCCACCAACUGUCGCUCCCGGGCUGAGUGGUGAUGUGUCCGGCCAGAGGAGAAGGGGAUUCAGAGGGAAAGACCUCCUAACUGCAUGUGCAUGUGUAGUCCAGACAGCACAGCAAGGAUCAGAAGUAAAUCCAGCAUCUGACCCAAAGCUUUGCUUAAAAUAUGCCAUCUCCAUUAAUAAAAGGACUGGACAUAGGAACAGGGAUGAAGGAGCAGAGCUGAGAUUAGUGAAGAAAAGAGGAUUUUGACAAUAGUUGAUGCUAAACUGGGGAGAAAUGGGAGACAUUUAUUUUUCAUCAGGGUAAGCACAUGUUUGUAUGUACAUAUAUAGUAUAUGUAUGUGUUUAUAUGUUAGACUUCAGUAUCUUAUUUCUACAAUAACGUUUGGGGAAUGGUCAGAAUAUAACUUUGCUUACACUCAGUCCUUAUGCUAAAAAUUUGACUUUUGUGCUUCCGGUGGUUUGCUUUGACAGUACUGUGCUUUCAGUGGUGGGAACUGAAAAACUGGAGAGCUUCAAGGUAAUAUUUAAAUAAAGGGUUUGAAAGAUUGGUAAGAAUUGUACAAUAUUAUUUCUAAGGAGCAGUUCUAGUGCUCCUCCUCUCCUUCCUCCUCCCAUUCCCCUUUGUUUUUCAUCUUUUUCUCCUUAACUCUCCUCCUCCUCCUCCUCUCCGGCUUCCAUCUUUUCCUUUACAAUGGGAAGUUGAUAGGCAUGUAGUGGGUUAUUCAUAAUGCUAAGCUGAAUGUAUAAUACAG